UACGUAGGGGGCAAGCGUUGUCCGGAUUUAUUGGGCGUAAAGAGCGUGUAGGCGGCUUUACAGGUCCGUUGUGAAAACUCGAGGCUCAACCUCGAGACGCCGGUGGAAACCGUAAGGCUAGAGUCCGGAAGAGGAGAGUGGAAAUUCCUGGUGUAGCGGUGAAAUGCGCAGAUAUCAGGAGGAACACCCGUGGCGAAAGCGGCUCUCUGGGACGGUACUGACGGCUG
rnacentral:rRNA from 1 species